UUGGCCGUAAAUAAAUUAAAUUUACCAGAGUACUAUGAACUAAAAAGUUUAAAACUCAAAGAGCUUGGCGGUGUUUUAGACCUCUCAGGGGAACCUGUCUCAUAAUCGACAAUCCACGCUAUACCUAACCUUAUUUCGCCUUUACAGUUUGUAUACCGUCGUCGUCAGGUAACUUUUAAAAAUUUAGAAGUUAGCAAAAAAGCUAUAUAAGCUUAUACGUCAGAUCAAGGUGCAGCUCAUAUUAAGGUGAGGAUGGGUUACAAUUAUAAAAUCAUAACUACGAAGUAAUUAUAAUAAUAUGUAAUUAUAAGGAGGACUUGAAAGUAAAUUAAAUUAUAAAAACAUUUUGAAUAAGGCUCUGAAACGUGC
rnacentral:rRNA from 1 species